rnacentral:rRNA from 1 species
UACGGAGGAUCCAAGCGUUAUCCGGAUUUAUUGGGUUUAAAGGGUGCGUAGGCGGCCUGUUAAGUCAGGGGUGAAAGACGGUAGCUCAACUAUCGCAGUGCCCUUGAUACUGAUGGGCUUGAAUACACUAGAGGUAGGCGGAAUGUGACAAGUAGCGGUGAAAUGCAUAGAUAUGUCACAGAACACCGAUUGCGAAGCAGCUUACUAUGGUGUCAUUGACGCUGAGGCACGAAAAGCGUGGGGAUCAAACAGG